rnacentral:rRNA from 1 species
UACGUAGGGUCCGAGCGUUGUCCGGAAUUAUUGGGCGUAAAGAGCUCGUAGGCGGUUUGUCGCGUCUGCUGUGAAAUCCCGAGGCUCAACCUCGGGUCUGCAGUGGGUACGGGCAGACUGGAGUGCGGUAGGGGAGAAUGGAAUUCCGGGUGUAGCGGUGAAAUGCGUAGAUAUCCGGAGGAACACCGGUGGCGAAGGCGGCUUCCUGGACCGACACUGACGCUGAGGCGCGAAAGCUAGGGGAGCAAACGGG